AUUGAACGCUGGCGGCAGGCUUAACACAUGCAAGUCGAACGAGUGGCGGACGGGUGAGUAAUGUCUGGGAAACUGCCUGCUGGAGGGGGAUAACUACUGGAAACGGUAGCUAAUACCGCAUACCAUCAGAUGUGCCCAGAUGGGAUUAGCUAGUAGGUGGGGUAAUGGCUCACCAAGGCGACGAUCCCUAGCUGGUCUGAGAGGAUGACCAGCCAACCUGGAACUGAGACACGGUCCAGACUCCUACGGGAGGCAGGAGUGGGGAAUAGUGCACAAUGGGCGCAAGCCUGAUGCAGCGAUGCCGCGUGUAUGAAGAGGGCCUUCGGGUUGUAAAGUACUUUCAGCGGGGAGGCGUUACGCGCAGAAGAAGCACCGGCUAACUCCGUGCCAGCAGCCGCGGUAAUUC
rnacentral:rRNA from 1 species